rnacentral:rRNA from 1 species
AAAGAAAAUAACAAUGAUUCCCCUAGUAACGGCGAGCGAAGAGGGAAUAGCUCAAAUUUUAAAUCUGUUGGGUCUCUUACCUAACCGAGUUGUAAUUUGAAGAAACGUUUUCUGCGUGUUUGAUUUAGCCCAAAUCCUUUGGGAUAAGGUAUCAUGGAGGGUGAGAAUCCCGUCCGGCCUAAUCAAAUGUGCUUUUACGAUACGUUUUCUAAGAGUCGAGUUGUUUGGGAUUGCAGCUCAAUAUGGGAGGUAAAUUUCUCCUAAGGCUAAAUAUUGGCGAGAGACCGAUAGCGAACAAGUACCGUGAGGGAAAGAUGAAAAGAACUUUGAAAAGAGAGUUAAACAGUACGUGAAAUUGUUGAAAGGGAAACGAUUAAAGUCAGUCGUACUAACGGGGAAUCAACCUUUUGAGGGUGGAAUUGUGGGAUUCGGAGUGCCUCUGUCUUUCACAACCUGCUCUUUUUGGGUGCACUUUCUCGUAUUGUAGGUCAGCAUCGGUUUCGACCGUUAUAAAAUGACUGGAGGAAUGUAGCUUCGAUCUCGUAUUGAAGUGUUAUAGCCUUUGGUAGAUGUAACGGAUGGGAUCGAGGAUUGCAAUGAAUACCCUCAUGGGCUAUCCGCCUGGCCUCUGACAUGUCACUCUGGUGCUGAAAGCGUGCUUAUGGCAUUAUAGUGUACGGUCAAAAGGUUAGAACGGAUUAAAUU